rnacentral:rRNA from 1 species
AGGGUUUGAUCAUGGCUCAGGACGAACGCUGGCGGUGCGCCUUAUGCAUGCAAGUUGAGCGAAGCUUUUUGGUAGUUUACUACUAGAAAUGACUGAGCGGCGAACGGGUGAGUAACGCGUGAGCAAUCUACCUUAGUUACUGGGAUAGCCCGAGGAAACUCGGAUUAAUACCGGAUAUUCUUAUUUUUUCACAUGAAGUUUUAAGGAAAGGUCAGCCGAACUAAGAUGAGCUCGCGUUCUAUCAGCUAGUUGGUGGGGUAAAAGCCUACCAAGGCUACGACGGAUAGCUGGUCUGAGAGGACGAUCAGCCACACUGGGACUGAGACACGGCCCAGACUCCUACGGGAGGCUGCAGCAGGGAAUAUUGUGCAAUGAGCGAAAGCUUGACACAGCGACACCGCGUGUGGGAUGACGGUUCUAGGAUUGUAAACCACUUUCAGGAGGGAAGAAAAUGACGGUACCUCCACAAGAAGACCCGGCCAACUAUGUGCCAGCCGCCGCGGUAAUUC